GCAGUUUAUUAUUCUCUGUUCUUAGUAUUCACAGGUUCCAUUUAUCACCUUUAACUUCAUCUCUGUGGUUGGAGCACAAAUACAAUCUAAAAAGUCCAUGUUAUUUAUAGCAAAUAUGCAGCAUUAAAACAUCAACACAUUCAGGUCAGGAGCUUCAUUAUUUCCUUUAUUGCACAUUUAAAAACUACAUUAUUUAACAAUUGUGAACUGUAAAGAUGUGUAAACACAUGUAAUAAAUGGAUGAAAUUUAUAAAGUGUUGCUGACAGUGAAAUGUAAAAACUGAACAGUAACAAGACAAACUAUAUUCUGAAGAGAGGAGCUGAAUCUGCAGCAUUAUUGUUAUUACUGGAAGGAUGAGGAGGACAUCAGUGGUGCUCUUCCUCACAGUGAUGAAGGAGAAAAGACUCUUCAGACAACCACAGCUGGAUGUUCAUGUUCUCUGGAGCUCUCAGUCCGUCAGACCAAUGGAUCCACAUCACAUUCUUCACAUUUAUAGUCCACUUUUAAAAGUUCAGCAGACAGGUGCUCUGCUUUGGAGUGUGACGAUGUCGUCGGUGAUGUGGAGAAUGAAGUUUCCGUUUCACCCACAGCAUGCUUUAGGACAGCCAGGUUGGACUUGAUGUUUGAAAUACUGACUGACAGCUCAGAUUUAACUGUCUGUAGUUCCGUUUUGAUGGAUGUUAAAUUUUCACUCAAAGCCCCCAGGAGCUGGGUCUUUAAAAUAAGCUCCGUCUCGUUACAGAGUGAAAGUAGCAGUUCCUCCUGAAGGUCAGAGAUUGCAGCAUCUGAGGGCCUCUUCAAAAGAAGACAUAGUUGAUGAAGGCGUUCUGGAGCAGGACCAGAAAGACCACGACCAAGCAGCCUUGAGAUCUUAGGCAGCGUCUCCCUCAGGUCCCUCUCUAUCUCCCUACACAUCUACCAACCACUGGAACACAUCUCCAAAGUUCUGCUGGACCAGCUCAGCUUCCCCUCAGAAGAAGUGCUGCCACCUGCCAGAUGAAGGAGCCUUUUGAGAGGCAGCUGGCAUCGUGAUUGGACUGUACUUUGGUCUGUUCCAAUCCAGCUUCAGCUCCAGAGACGGCAGGCGGGACGAGUCAACGGAGGCCGGGUGGACGAAGGCAUGCAGCUGAGUACAAUCCAGAAAACAACAGAGGAGGAGUGCAGCAGCCCAGAGCCAGAACAACCAGAGUAGCAUCGUAUGUCUCUUAGAAAACAUCAUAGUAUAGCCUUUGGUAUGAAAAAACGCCAUCAUAUACAUCGUAUAUUGUACAAAUAACAAGUCAAAGGAAAGAGACAUACAUUGUAGAAUUGUAGUAAUUGUGGGCUGACUGAUUUACUGAUUAUCAGUAUUUUAUUUUUUACUGAUUUACGGUAAUAAAUACAUUUAAAAAUGG